AAUAUUGGACAAUGGGCGAAAGCCUGAUCCAGCCAUGCCGCGUGUGUGAAGAAGGUCUUCGGAUUGUAAAGCACUUUAAGUUGGGAGGAAGGGCAUUAACCUAAUACGUUAGUGUUUUGACGUUACCGACAGAAUAAGCACCGGCUAACUUCGUGCCAGCAGCCGCGGUAAU
rnacentral:rRNA from 1 species